rnacentral:rRNA from 1 species
GUGUCAGCAGCCGCGGUAAGACGAACCGAGCGAACGUUGUUCGGAAUCACUGGGCUUAAAGGGCGCGUAGGCGGGCGAUCAAGUCGGUGGUGAAAUCCUACAGCUUAACUGUAGAACUGCCUCCGAUACUGGUUGUCUCGAGGAAGGUAGGGGCGUACGGAACAGUUGGUGGAGCGGUGAAAUGCGUUGAUAUCAACUGGAACUCCGGUGGCGAAGGCGGUACGCUGGACCUUUUCUGACGCUGAGGCGCGAAAGCCAGGGGAGCAAACGGGAUUAGAUACCCCCGUAGUCC